rnacentral:lncRNA from 1 species
ACUGUAUGCCCCAUUUUAAGUUUGAGUUGGGCAUGUUCUGUGAAUAAAUUUCAGAUAUUCACAGUGCAAAGGGCUUAACCUUUUUCAGAAGUGUUUAAAAUUUUUGCCUUUUGGUGUUUAUAAAAAUCACAAUUAUGUUGUUUUAAGACAUGUAAAAAUGUGCCAUUUGCUGUCCUUUUAAGAUGACAAUCAUGAACUGCAGAGAAGCCUGUCUUGGUUGACAAUCUCUUUAAAACAUUUCCAGGUUAAUAUUCCAUACACUUCUCUACCAAAAAAGUUAAGAAUUGCACCUUUAUGUAAAAAUCAAAAUUUAACAGAAAUAUCUUCAAGGACCUGUUCUUGAGGUAUUUGAUUAUAGUUUUCAAAUCGAUUUAUGCUAUCAUUAACCUGAUAUGGUCAGUUUAAAAAAUGAAUAUAUCAGUAUUAAGAAAUAAAUGGCAAAGAUGGGGACAUGUACUUAAAUAAUUUAGGUAACUUCUGGCAUUUGGUAGUCUGAAAUGGUUACAAAUUACAUUGUUAUAUAUAAAAUUUCAAAACUCU